UCCUUGCUGGCUCAGACAGUAAAGAAUCUGCCUGCAAUGCAGGAGACCAGGGUUCAAUCCCUGGGUCAGGAA
rnacentral:tRNA from 1 species